GAUGAACGCUAGCGGCAGGCUUAACACAUGCAAGUCGAGGGGCAUCACGGGUAGCAAUACCUGGUGGCGACCGGCGCAAGGGCGCGUAACGCGUGAGCAACAUGCCCUAUACAGGGGGAUAAUCCAGGGAAACUUGGUCUAAUAUCCCAUAGCAUUUAGAGGUGGCAUCACCAUUAAAUUAAAGCUUCGGUGGUAUAGGAUUGGCUCGCGUGACAUUAGCUAGAUGGUGGGGUAACGGCUCACCAUGGCUAUGAUGUCUAGGGGUUCUGAGAGGAAGACCCCCCACACUGGGACUGAGACACGGCCCAGACUCCUACGGGAGGCAGCAGUGAGGAAUAUUGGACAAUGGAUGGAAAUCUGAUCCAGCCAUGCCGCGUGCAGGAAGACGGCCCUAUGGGUUGUAAACUGCUUUUAUAUGGGAGCAAUAAGGUCUACGAGUAGACCGAUGAGAGUACCAUAUGAAUAAGCAUCGG
rnacentral:rRNA from 1 species